rnacentral:rRNA from 1 species
GCAAGUCGAACGGAGAAGCAGAUGCUUGCAUCUGUGGAUUAGUGGCGAAAGGGUGAGUAACGCGUGAACAAUCUGCCCCUAAGUUGGGAAUAGCCUCGGGAAACCGGGAUUAAUACCGAAUGUGAUCCUCUAUCGCAUGUUAGAGAGAUUAAAGAUUUAUUGCUUAGGGAUGAGUUCGCGUUCCAUUAGCUAGUUGGUAAGGUAACGGCUUACCAAGGCGACGAUGGAUAGCUGGUCUGAGAGGAUGAUC